rnacentral:lncRNA from 1 species
CCACUUAAACAUGCUGCCAUUAACAGAUCAAAGAAAUGAGUAAAAUGACAGUAAAUCCUUUGAAAUCAGUGGUAUUUAUCCAACUGCCCAAACCUCUAACGUAUGUUUAUGUCUGAUGCCACUCAAUUCACUCACAAAUAUAGUUGAAAUGUUUGGUUACCUUUGUUCCAUUUUAUGCUUACAUUACCAGAACAGCGGUGACAUAGGCAUGUGAGUUAUCCCAUCAGUGCACCCAAUUCACUCACAUACAGUACAUAACUUAAAUGCUUGGUUACCUUUGCUAUAACUAGGCAUGCGAGUUAUCCCACCCAAUUCACUCACAUAUAUAAUUUAAAUGCUUGGUUACCUUUGUUCCAUUCUAUACUUACAUAUCAGAACAGUGGUAACUAGGCAUGUGAGUUAUCUCAAAAUAUGAAUUGGUUGCCUUUGUUCCAUUCUAUGCUAACAUUGUCAGAACAAUGGUAACUUAGACAUGUGAGCUAUCCUACCCAAUUUACUCUAAAUAAACUUUAUUCAAACAGAGCUACCAAUAAUGGUACAUAUAGAAUAGAAAACAUUAAAUUUACAGAGAGACUAUAUUAAAAAUUAGAAUUAUACUUCUAGUUAUACUAGAUCAAAACUUGUUUAGACACCGAAGCAAUACUUGGUUACCAAUGUCCCCACGGAUUUGUCUUUCAUGGCAAUAACAUACAUAAACAAGUCAUGAUUAUUUGUUUGUUUGUUUAUACAAUUUAUAUGCUUGGUUACCUUUGUUCCAUUCUAUGCGUACAUUAUCAGAAGAGUGGUAACUAGACAUGUGAGUUAUCUGAAAAUGUGAAGUGAUUAUUUUUAUUCCAUUCUAUGCUUACAUUAUCAGAAGAGUGGUAACUAGACACGUGAGUUAUCUGAAAAUGCGAAGUGAUUAUUUUUGUUCCAUUCUAUGCUUAAUUAUCAGAACAGUGGUAACUAGACAUGUGAGUUAUCUGAAAAUGUGAAGUGGAUGAGAACGGGCAUAAACAUGCGUUAGUUGAUUCUAGGUCAUUGGAACAUUGGAAUGUAAAAUAAACCUGCAUUAAAAAUGCCAUUUCUUAACAACACAAGUGAAAAUUUAAAUUCAUAACCAUGGUUAUGACGUGUAACCCAAGGUAUGAUGUAGAAUUAUGACGUAAAUGUAAUUGGUCAUUCUAUGACAUAGAAUUAAACAUGCAAUCAACCAAUUAUGGUUUAUUAAUUCGGUACAUAAAAUUUAAUAGUCUCAUGUUAUUCCCCCCACUGAGCUUUAUUAGUAUAAUGGUGGC